GUUAGUGGAGCAGUUGGUUAAAUACCCUGAGCCCAGGUGGCUCCAAUCACACCAGCUGCAAUCACUAACGGGUUAGGUAGAAGAUGAAGGUUAUAGGAGAGAGGGUUAGGUAGAUGAUGAAGGUUCCUCGAGAGAGGAUUAGGGAGAAGACGAAUGUUUAGGGAGAAGACGAAGGUUAUAGGAGAGGGUUAGGUAGUAGAUGAAGGUUACGGGAGAGAGGGUUAGGUAGAAGAUGAAGGUUACAGGAGAGAGGAUUAGGGAGAAGACGAAGGUUAAAGGAGAGAGGGUUAGGUAGUAGAUGAAGGUUAUAGGAGAGAGGGUUAGGUAGAAGAUGAAGGUUAUGGGAGAGGGUUAGGUAGAAGAUGAAGGUUAUGGGAGAGAGGGUUAGGUAGAAGAUGAAGGUUAUAGGAGAGAGGGUUAGGUAGAAGAUUAAGGUUAUGGGAGAGAGGGUUAGGGUUAGGUAGAAGAUGAAGGUUACAGGAGAGAGGAUUAGGUAGAAGAUGAAGGUUACAGGAGAGAGGGUUAGGUAGAAGAUGAAGGUUAUGGGAUAGAUAGAAGAUGAAGGUUAUGGGAGAGAGGGUUAGGGUUAGGUAGAAGAUGAAGGGUACGGGAGAGUGGGUUAGUAGAAAAUGAAGGUUAUAGGAGAGGGUUAGGUAGUAGAUGAAGGUUAUGGGAGAGGGUUAGGUAGAAGAUGAAGGUUAUGGGAGAGAGGGUUAGGUAGAAGAUGAAGGUUAUAGGAGAGAGGGUUAGGUAGAAGAUGAAGGUUACAGGAGAGAGGAUUAGGUAGAAGUUGAAGGUUAUAGGAGAGGGUUAGGGGGUUAGGUAGAAGAUGAAGGUUACGGGAGAGAGGGUUAGGGAGAAGAUGAAGGUUACAGGAGAGAGGGUUAGGUAGAAGAUGAAGGUUAUGGGAGAGAGGGUUAGGUAGAAGAUGAAGGUUAUGGGAGAGAGGGUUAGGUAGAAGAUGAAGGUUACAGGAGAGAGGGUUAGGUAGAAGAUGAAGGUUUUAGGAGAGAGGGUUAGAGGGUUAGGUAGAAGACGAAGGUUACGGGAGAGAGGGUUAGGGUUAUGGAGCAGGAGGAGGAAGAGGAUGGGUGGGACAGGAUGCUGUGUGAUGUCUAGAG
rnacentral:lncRNA from 1 species